rnacentral:tRNA from 1 species
GCCCCCGUAGCUCAGCUGGAUAGAGCGGCGGCCUUCUAAUCCGCGGGUCACAGGUUCGAAUCCUGUCGGGGGCGCCA